AAAAGAAGUUGAUACUUAUUGACUUGGUUUAGUGGGUUAGAGAAGAAGAUGUUUUGUUUCACUGGGUAACCAGGGUUUCAUGUAACAUUUAGUGAUCUAUUUUUAUUAGCAGAUUUUAUUAAUCAAUGUUUGGAAUUCUAUAUAAUGGCUGUCUCGUCAAUCUGCGUUUCACAGAGGGGGUGAACUUUCCCGUGAAGGAAAUGGUCUUUACAUAGAAAGGUUGAAUUUCAAGUGAAGAUUUCACUGUUGUAUGCGCGAUAAAACCAAUGUUGGACUGCUUAAGAGAUAGUCUUGUGUUGAAGUAAUGGUUAUUAUAGUCCAUAAUCAGCUCGCCCCAAAACGUGUUUUUUAAUAUGUGUCAAAACAUCGUCCAAAUAUCCCGAGUUUUAUCAAUCCGCCCUGGAUCAGUAGGGUUAAUUGAUGAAUUGUAGUAGACUUAUCCCUUUUGAUAGAUAGAAUAUUGGCAUUUUUUGAAGCAAAAAUUGGAAUUUAAUAAUAUCCAACUACAUGAUAUCAAACCAAAUUUUAUUUUAUUUGGUUUAGAUUAAAGUUUUACCUUCUAUAAGCUAAUUAACAGAAAAAAUUCACCCAUAGAUCUCAGUUGUAAUUGGUAACAUGGCUUGAGCAGAACAC
rnacentral:lncRNA from 1 species